GAGCAAUGAUAUUAACUUGCACAAUAUGUGAACGAUUGGGUCGUCACACACAUCUGAUUCAGGAUGAAAUGUCGUGCAUCUGAGCUC